AUGACGCUCCUAAGUUGGAACUGUCGAGGCCUCGGGCAACCUCGCACAGUUCAAGAGCUCGUGUGUCUCGUGCACACAUACAAGCCCAAGCUCGUCUUCCUCUCCGAAACUCAGCAAAACAAUAAGUAUGUCAAAAACUUAAAGUGGAGGCUAGGCAUUCGUCACUGUAUCGCGCAACCCGGCAUUGGGAAAGGUGUCGGCAUUGCCCUAUUUUAUGAUGAAAAUAUUGAAUGGCGUGCAACUUUUGUGUACGGGAAACCGAAGGCCCACGAAUGACACCACAUGUGGACAUUGUUACGGAGGAUAAAGGACACAGCUAAU
rnacentral:rRNA from 1 species